rnacentral:lncRNA from 1 species
GUGGCACUGGGUGAGCUCUGAGCUCCCUUCCCACCCAAAGCAUCCCAGGAAUUCUGAAGGAGGCCCCUCCUUCUCCUGCCUCUCCCUCCCCAAGCAGGGGAACAUUCGUUUUCAGCACAAAAUGUAAAGCAGGGCUCAUUUCAUUUAAGGGUCCCCACUGCCAGCUCCAGCUCUUUAUCUGACAGCAACCCAGAGGAAUAACUCAUAAAAACAGUGCAAAGAGGCUUGAAAAUUAAUUUAUUGCACAUUUUGCUAGCUGAGCCAGGAUGCAGGGGAGCUCCAGCCACUCCUGCCUGCCCUGCACAGGGCAGUGGCACCACGGACCCCAGUGCCCACCUGCCAGGGCUGCAGCCCUGCAAACGCCGCUAAUUGAGCAGUAAUUAACCCAGUAAUUAGUAGUGGUUAGAAACAGACCCAUCUGUGAUUAGAGCUGAGCCUGGAGGAGCAGAGCCCUGUGCUCCAGAUCCUGAUCCCACUGCAGCUCCCAGCACCGAGCCCUGCCUGGGGGAGAGCCCAGGGCAGGCCUGGCUUAAUUUUAACUCCUGGUUUAAGGCCUGUUUUAACUCCUGGUUUAAGGCUUGUUUUAAUUCCUGGUUUAAGGCCUGGUUUAAUUUUAACUCCUGGUUUAAGGCUUGUUUUAACUCCUGGUUUAAAGCCUGAUUUAAUUUUAACUCCUGGUUUAACACUUGGUUCAAGGCCUGAUUGGAUAGGAUGGGAAUGGGAUGGGGCUGGGGAUGGGACAGGGAUGGGAUGGGGCAGGGCUGCCCUCACUCACCAGAGCUGCCCUGUCCUGGCACGAGGCUCCUGCCCAGCCCAGGGGUGACAGGGGGCUCAAGUUGGGGACAAAACCCAGCCCAGGGGUGACAGGGGUGUCAGGCUGG